rnacentral:tRNA from 1 species
GAGGCGUUAGCUCAGUCGGUAGAGCAUUUCCCUUUUAAGGAAGUGGUCCCGGGUUCAAGUCCCGGACGCCUCA